rnacentral:rRNA from 1 species
UGUCUAGUAUAAGCAUCUAUACAGUGAAACUGCGAAUGGCUCAUUAAAUCAGUUAUCGUUUAUUUGAUAGUACCUUACUACUUGGAUAACCGUGGUAAUUCUAGAGCUAAUACAUGCUAAAAACCUCGACUUCGGAAGGGGUGUAUUUAUUAGAUAAAAAACCAAUGCCCUUCGGGGCUCCUUGGUGAUUCAUGAUAACUUAACGAAUCGCAUGGCCUUGUGCCGGCGAUGGUUCAUUCAAAUUUCUGCCCUAUCAACUUUCGAUGGUAGGAUAGUGGCCUACCAUGGUUUCAACGGGUAACGGGGAAUUAGGGUUCUAUUCCGGAGAGGGAGCCUGAGAAACGGCUACCACAUCCAAGGAAGGCAGCAGGCGCGCAAAUUACCCAAUCCCGACACGGGGAGGUAGUGACAAUAAAUACUGAUACAGGGCUCUUUUGGGUCUUGUAAUUGGAAUGAGUACAAUUUAAAUCCCUUAACGAGGAACAAUUGGAGGGCAAGUCUGGUGCCAGCAGCCGCGGUAAUUCCAGCUCCAAUAGCGUAUAUUAAAGUUGUUGCAGUUAAAAAGCUCGUAGUUGAACCUUGGGCCUGGUUGGUCGGUCCGCCUCGCGGCGUGCACUGAUCCGACCGGGCCUUUCCUUCUGGGGAACCGCAUGCCCUUCAUUGGGUGUGUUGGGGAUCCAGGACUUUUACUUUGAAAAAAUUAGAGUGUUCAAAGCAGGCAUAUGCUCGAAUACAUUAGCAUGGAAUAAUAGAAUAGGACGUGUGGUUCUAUUUUGUUGGUUUCUAGGACCGCCGUAAUGAUUAAUAGGGAUAGUCGGGGGCAUCAGUAUUCCGUUGUCAGAGGUGAAAUUCUUGGAUUUACGGAAGACUAACUACUGCGAAAGCAUUUGCCAAGGAUGUUUUCAUUAAUCAGUGAACGAAAGUUAGGGGAUCGAAGACGAUCAGAUACCGUCGUAGUCUUAACCAUAAACUAUGCCGACUAGGGAUCGGGCGAUGUUA